rnacentral:pre_miRNA from 1 species
UUUGUUACUAAUCAUAUAGGUUGAUCCUCGUCAAUCUAAAUUCGAUUGACGAGGAUCAACCUAUAUGAUUAGUAACAAAU